rnacentral:rRNA from 1 species
GGCGAGUGAAGCGGCAACAGCUCAAAUUUGAAAUCUGGCCUCUUCGGGGUCCGAGUUGUAAUUUGUAGAGGGUGUUUCGGGCGCGAUGCCGGUCUAAGUUCCUUGGAACAGGACGUCGCAGAGGGUGAGAAUCCCGUACGCGACCGGCGAUCAAGCCUGUGUGAAGCCCCUUCGACGAGUCGAGUUGUUUGGGAAUGCAGCUCAAAAUGGGUGGUAAAUUUCAUCUAAAGCUAAAUAUUGGCCAGAGACCGAUAGCGGACAAGUAGAGUGAUCGAAAGAUGAAAAGCACUUUGGAAAGAGAGUCAAACAGUACGUGAAAUUGUUGAAAGGGAAGCGCUUGCAAUCAGACCGGUCCGGAGGCGAUCAGCCGCUGCUCGUUCAGCGGUGCACUCGCCUGCGAUCCGGCCAGCAUCGGUUUGGGCGGUGGGAUAAAAGUCCCGGGAAUGUAGCUUCUCUCGGGGAGUCUUAUAGCCCGGGUCGCAAUGCCGCCUGCCCGGACCGAGGACCGCGCUUCGGCU